UACGGAGGGUGCAAGCGUUAUCCGGAUUUACUGGGUUUAAAGGGUGCGUAGGCGGCCUGUUAAGUCAGGGGUGAAAGACGGUAGCUCAACUAUCGCAGUGCCCUUGAUACUGAUGGGCUUGAAUGUACUAGAGGUAGGCGGAAUGUGACAAGUAGCGGUGAAAUGCAUAGAUAUGUCACAGAACACCAAUUGCGAAGGCAGCUUACUAUGGUAUUAUUGACGCUGAGGCACGAAAGCGUGGGGAUCAAACAGG
rnacentral:rRNA from 1 species